GUGAGAAGGUGGGCCAUAGCAGAAACUUCUGAGUUUACCAUUGAUUUAAGAGGCUCUACGGCAGUCAGAUCAUCCAAGCUUUUGCGCUUCUCAUAUCAAAAUCUGCAGGCAGGGUGGUUGUGAUUCUUGAUUGCUGUAAAAUUGGGUUGUAUAAAAGCUUUAAAACCUGAAAAUUGAUGGGCGAUUCCAAGCUGCUGAAAAAAGGUUUCCAGAAUGGUUGCACUCUCACAUUUACUAAUUCAACCAACCACCUAGCCAGAAGGAAUUGCCAUCUUCAUCCUCUGAGCUCGAGCUCUGCCCUGAACAGUCAACAAAGCGUGCAUGCACCGGAGGGUUGCGGCAGCUCGUUUCCUGACCAGGUGACCCCUCACCAGAGCCUGCAACUUCACUAGCCCUUUCAAUGCACACAGUGCC